UACGUAGGGACCGAGCGUUGUCCGGAAUCAUUGGGCGUAAAGAGCGUGUAGGCGGCCAAUUAAGUCCUGCGUGAAAUCUCGGGGCUCAACCCCGAGCGGUCGUGGGAAACUGGUUGGCUAGAGUGCGGGAGAGGAGAGUGGAAUUCAUGGUGUAGCGGUGAAAUGCGCAGAUAUCAGGAAGAACACCCGUGGCGAAGGCGGCUCUCUGGAACGCAACUGACGCUGAGACGCGAAAGCGUGGGGAGCAAACAGG
rnacentral:rRNA from 1 species